AGCGUACACGGUGGAUGCCCUGGCAGUCAGAGGCGAUGAAGGACGUGCUAAUCUGCGAUAAGCGUCGGUAAGGUGAUAUGAACCGUUAUAACCGGCGAUUUCCGAAUGGGGAAACCCAGUGUGUUUCGACACACUAUCAUUAACUGAAUCCAUAGGUUAAUGAGGCGAACCGGGGGAACUGAAACAUCUAAGUACCCCGAGGAAAAGAAAUCAACCGAGAUUCCCCCAGUAGCGGCGAGCGAACGGGGAGGAGCCCAGAGCCUGAAUCAGUGUGUGUGUUAGUGGAAGCGUCUGGAAAGGCGCGCGAUACAGGGUGACAGCCCCGUACACAAAAAUGCACAUAUUGUGAGCUCGAUGAGUAGGGCGGGACACGUGGUAUCCUGUCUGAAUAUGGGGGGACCAUCCUCCAAGGCUAAAUACUCCUGACUGACCGAUAGUGAACCAGUACCGUGAGGGAAAGGCGAAAAGAACCCCGGCGAGGGGAGUGAAAAAGAACCUGAAACCGUGUACGUACAAGCAGUGGGAGCCUCUUUAUGGGGUGACUGCGUACCUUUUGUAUAAUGGGUCAGCGACUUAUAUUCUGUAGCAAGGUUAACCGAAUAGGGGAGCCGAAGGGAAACCGAGUCUUAACUGGGCGUUAAGUUGCAGGGUAUAGACCCGAAACCCGGUGAUCUAGCCAUGGGCAGGUUGAAGGUUGGGUAACACUAACUGGAGGACCGAACCGACUAAUGUUGAAAAAUUAGCGGAUGACUUGUGGCUGGGGGUGAAAGGCCAAUCAAACCGGGAGAUAGCUGGUUCUCCCCGAAAGCUAUUUAGGUAGCGCCUCGUGAAUUCAUCUCCGGGGGUAGAGCACUGUUUCGGCAAGGGGGUCAUCCCGACUUACCAACCCGAUGCAAACUGCGAAUACCGGAGAAUGUUAUCACGGGAGACACACGGCGGGUGCUAACGUCCGUCGUGAAGAGGGAAACAACCCAGACCGCCAGCUAAGGUCCCAAAGUCAUGGUUAAGUGGGAAACGAUGUGGGAAGGCCCAGACAGCCAGGAUGUUGGCUUAGAAGCAGCCAUCAUUUAAAGAAAGCGUAAUAGCUCACUGGUCGAGUCGGCCUGCGCGGAAGAUGUAACGGGGCUAAACCAUGCACCGAAGCUGCGGCAGCGACACUAUGUGUUGUUGGGUAGGGGAGCGUUCUGUAAGCCUGUGAAGGUGGCCUGUGAGGGUUGCUGGAGGUAUCAGAAGUGCGAAUGCUGACAUAAGUAACGAUAAAGCGGGUGAAAAGCCCGCUCGCCGGAAGACCAAGGGUUCCUGUCCAACGUUAAUCGGGGCAGGGUGAGUCGACCCCUAAGGCGAGGCCGAAAGGCGUAGUCGAUGGGAAACAGGUUAAUAUUCCUGUACUUGGUGUUACUGCGAAGGGGGGACGGAGAAGGCUAUGUUGGCCGGGCGACGGUUGUCCCGGUUUAAGCGUGUAGGCUGGUUUUCCAGGCAAAUCCGGAAAAUCAAGGCUGAGGCGUGAUGACGAGGCACUACGGUGCUGAAGCAACAAAUGCCCUGCUUCCAGGAAAAGCCUCUAAGCAUCAGGUAACAUCAAAUCGUACCCCAAACCGACACAGGUGGUCAGGUAGAGAAUACCAAGGCGCUUGAGAGAACUCGGGUGAAGGAACUAGGCAAAAUGGUGCCGUAACUUCGGGAGAAGGCACGCUGAUAUGUAGGUGAAGUCCCUCGCGGAUGGAGCUGAAAUCAGUCGAAGAUACCAGCUGGCUGCAACUGUUUAUUAAAAACACAGCACUGUGCAAACACGAAAGUGGACGUAUACGGUGUGACGCCUGCCCGGUGCCGGAAGGUUAAUUGAUGGGGUUAGCGGUAACGCGAAGCUCUUGAUCGAAGCCCCGGUAAACGGCGGCCGUAACUAUAACGGUCCUAAGGUAGCGAAAUUCCUUGUCGGGUAAGUUCCGACCUGCACGAAUGGCGUAAUGAUGGCCAGGCUGUCUCCACCCGAGACUCAGUGAAAUUGAACUCGCUGUGAAGAUGCAGUGUACCCGCGGCAAGACGGAAAGACCCCGUGAACCUUUACUAUAGCUUGACACUGAACAUUGAGCCUUGAUGUGUAGGAUAGGUGGGAGGCUUUGAAGUGUGGACGCCAGUCUGCAUGGAGCCGACCUUGAAAUACCACCCUUUAAUGUUUGAUGUUCUAACGUUGGCCCGUAAUCCGGGUUGCGGACAGUGUCUGGUGGGUAGUUUGACUGGGGCGGUCUCCUCCUAAAGAGUAACGGAGGAGCACGAAGGUUGGCUAAUCCUGGUCGGACAUCAGGAGGUUAGUGCAAUGGCAUAAGCCAGCUUGACUGCGAGCGUGACGGCGCGAGCAGGUGCGAAAGCAGGUCAUAGUGAUCCGGUGGUUCUGAAUGGAAGGGCCAUCGCUCAACGGAUAAAAGGUACUCCGGGGAUAACAGGCUGAUACCGCCCAAGAGUUCAUAUCGACGGCGGUGUUUGGCACCUCGAUGUCGGCUCAUCACAUCCUGGGGCUGAAGUAGGUCCCAAGGGUAUGGCUGUUCGCCAUUUAAAGUGGUACGCGAGCUGGGUUUAGAACGUCGUGAGACAGUUCGGUCCCUAUCUGCCGUGGGCGCUGGAGAACUGAGGGGGGCUGCUCCUAGUACGAGAGGACCGGAGUGGACGCAUCACUGGUGUUCGGGUUGUCAUGCCAAUGGCACUGCCCGGUAGCUAAAUGCGGAAGAGAUAAGUGCUGAAAGCAUCUAAGCACGAAACUUGCCCCGAGAUGAGUUCUCCCUGACUCCUUGA
rnacentral:rRNA from 1 species